rnacentral:rRNA from 1 species
UAGCAUAUGCUUGUCUCUGAGACUAAGCCAUGCAUGUCUAAGUAUAAACAAAUCUGUACUGUGAAACUGCGGACGGCUCAUUAAAUCAGUUACAAUCUACUUGAUCGUAUAUCUUAUUAGUCGGGUAACCCUAGUAAUUCUAGAGCUAAUACGUGCAAAAAACUUUGACUCCUCUUUUACCGGAGGGGAAGAAGUGUAUUUAUUAGGUACAAAACCACUCAACCUUUCGGGGUUGUCUUUUGAUGAUUCAUAAUAACUUUACGAAUCACAGACCACU